rnacentral:rRNA from 1 species
GGAGUCUAGCAUGUGCGCAAGUCAUUGGGAUAUGACUAAACCUAAAGGCGUAAUGAAAGUGAAGGUUCGUCUUGCACGGACCAAGGGAGGAUGGGUAAUUAGGCUUCGGCUUUUGCCUCGCACUCCCGGGGCGUCUCAUUCUUAUUGCAAGAAGAGGCGCACCAAGAGCGUACACGCUGGGACCCGAAAGAUGGUGAACUAUGCCUGGUCAGGACGAAGUCAGGGGAAACCCUGAUGGAGGUCCGUAGCGAUUCUGACGUGCAAAUCGAUCGUCGGAACUGGGUAUAGGGGCGAAAGACUAAUCGAACCAUCUAGUAGCUGGUUCCCUCCGAAGUUUCCCUCAGGAUAGCUGGCGCUCGUUGCGCACGAGUUUCAUCCGGUAAAGCGAAUGAUUAGAGGCAUUGGGGUCGAAACGGCCUCAACCUAUUCUCAAACUUUAAAUGGGUGAGAUCUCCGGCUUGCUCGAACUAUUGAAGCCGUGAGACUCGAAUCAGAGUGCCAAGUGGGCCAUUUUUGGUAAGCAGAACUGGCGCUGUGGGAUGAACCAAACGCCGAGUUAAAGCGCCUAAAUCGACGCUUAUGGGAUACCAUGAAAGGCGUUGGUAACUUAAGACAUCAGGACGGUGGCCAUGGAAGUC